rnacentral:tRNA from 1 species
GGGCUGGUAGCUUAACGGUUAAAGCAGAGGACUCAUAAUCCUUUGACUGUGGGUUCGAAUCCCACCCGGCCCACCA